rnacentral:rRNA from 1 species
AGUGAACGCUGGCGGCAGGCCUAACACAUGCAAGUCGAGCGGAUGAAGGGAGCUUGCUCCUUGAUUCAGCGGCGGACUGGUGGGUAAUUCCUAGGAAUCUGCCUAUUAGUUGUGGAUAACGUCCUGAAACGGGCGCUAAUACCGCAUACGUCCUGAGGGAGAAAGGGGGGGAUCUUCGGACCUCACGCUAUCAGAUGAGCCUAGGUCGGAUUAGCUAGUUGGUGGGGUAAAGGCCUACCAAGGCGACGAUCCGUAACUGGUCUGAGAGGAUGAUCAGUCACACUGGAACUGAGACACGGUCCAGACUCCUACGGGAGGCAGCAGUGGGGAAUAUUGGACAAUGGGCGAAAGCCUGAUCCAGCCAUGCCGCGUGUGUGAAGAAGGUCUUCGGAUUGUAAAGCACUUUAAGUUGGGAGGAAGGGCAGUAAGUUAAUACCUUGCUGUUUUGACGUUACCAAAAGAAUAAGCACCGGCUAACUUCGUG